UACGGAGGGUGCAAACGUUGCUCGGAAUCAUUGGGCGUAAAGCGCACGUAGGCGGUCUUUUAAGUCGGGUGUGAAAUCCCUCAGCUUAACUGAGGAAGUGCAUUCGAAACUGGAGGACUUGAAUACUCAAGAGGGUCUCGGAAUUCCCGGUGUAGAGGUGAAAUUCGUAGAUAUCGGGAGGAACACCAGUGGCGAAGGCGGAGACCUGGGGAGAUAUUGACGCUGAGGUGCGAAAGCGUGGGGAGCAAACAGG
rnacentral:rRNA from 1 species